rnacentral:snoRNA from 1 species
CAUAUCACCCAUGAGAUGCUUGUUUUCGCGCUGCGCAUAGAGAGAUGCUACCCGUUGCUGGGCGCCUGGUCUUGACUCUUCCGUCAUGGAAGGUAGGGAAGUUGAGGAAUCAGCUGAGGUUACAAUA